rnacentral:lncRNA from 1 species
UUUUAUUGCAAAAUAUGGAGAGACCGGUACCUUUUCUCUCGUGUCAUUGGUUCAAUUUGUAGAACAAGCGAUUCAUGAGAAGCUGUAAAGACGGCAGGGGUAAUAUAGUAAUCUCACUGUAUAGCAAGACCCAACCAGAUCCUACAGGAAGAAAUGCUGGGACCGCGACGAGACACUUGUCAGAAAACCGAGAGCACAUAGAUCAUGCGGCGACUCACAGUGGCCAAAGC